CCUACGGGAGGCAGCAGUGGGGAAUAUUGCACAAUGGGCGCAAGCCUGAUGCAGCCAUGCCGCGUGUAUGAAGAAGGCCUUCGGGUUGUAAAGUACUUUCAGCGGGGAGGAAGGGAGUAAAGUUAAUACCUUUGCUCAUUGACGUUACCCGCAGAAGAAGCACCGGCUAACUCCGUGCCAGCAGCCGCGGUAAUACGGAGGGUGCAAGCGUUAAUCGGAAUUACUGGGCGUAAAGCGCACGCAGGCGGUUUGUUAAGUCAGAUGUGAAAUCCCCGGGCUCAACCUGGGAACUGCAUCUGAUACUGGCAAGCUUGAGUCUCGUAGAGGGGGGUAGAAUUCCAGGUGUAGCGGUGAAAUGCGUAGAGAUCUGGAGGAAUACCGGUGGCGAAGGCGGCCCCCUGGACGAAGACUGACGCUCAGGUGCGAAAGCGUGGGGAGGCAACAGGAUAGAUACCUCGGUAGUCCACGCCGUAACCGAUGUCGACUUGAGGUUGUGCCUUCGAGGCGUGGCUUCCGGUAGCUAACGCGUUAAGUCGACCGCCUCGGGAGUACGGCCGCGAGGUUAAAACGUACAAGGAAGUUGACGGCGUGAGACGUAGCGACGACGACGACGAGGAGGAGGAG
rnacentral:rRNA from 1 species